rnacentral:rRNA from 1 species
GAUGAACGCUGGCGGCGUGCUUAAUACAUGCAAGUCGAACGGACGGGCGAUAAUCUUGCUGCGUUGAUGUUUGCCGCACGGGUGAGAGUAACGUGUGUAUCCCGUCCUUGUAUUUCGGGUAACACCUGGGAAAUCGGGCUCUAACACGGUAGAAGAUUUUGAACCGUGGGGGGCGAAGGUAAGUUACGGCGGUUGGGGAUGGAAUAGCGGGUUCCCCGCUUGUUGGUGGGGUUGUGGCUUACCAAGGUUUUGACGGGUAGCCGGCCUGAGAGGGUGACCGGCCACAUUGGGACUGAGAUACGGCCCAGACUCCUACGGGAGGCAGCAGUGGGGAAUAUUGCACAAUGGGCGGAAGCCUGAUGCAGCAACGCCGCGUGCGGGAUGACGGCCUUCGGGUUGUAAACCGCUUUCGCCUGUGACGAAGCGUGAGUGACGGUAAUGGGUAAAGAAGCACCGGCUAACUACGUG